rnacentral:tRNA from 1 species
GAGGGUGUAGCUCAGUGGCAGAGCGCAUGCUCAGCACGCACAAGGUCCUGGGUUCAAUUCUCAGUACCUCCG